rnacentral:rRNA from 1 species
GAUGAACGCUGGCGGCGUGCCUAAUACAUGCAAGUCGAGCGAAGCGGGGACGGGUGAGUAACACGUGGAUAACCUCCUCUAAGACUGGGAUACAUUCGGGCAACCGGAGCUAAACCGCAUACUUAUAGAUGGAUCCGCGCUGCAUUAGCCAGUUGGUAAUGUAACGUCUUACCAAGGCAACGAUGCAUAGCCGAACUGAGAGGAGGAUCGGCCACACUGGAACGGAGACACGGUCCAGACUCCUACGGGAGGCAGCAGUAGGGAAUCGGCCGCAAUGGGCGAAAGCCUGACGGAGAAACGCCGCGUGAGUGAGGAAGGUCUUCGGAUCGUAAAACUCUGUUAUUAGGGAAGCGGUACCUAAUCAGAAAGCCACGGCUAACUACGUGCCAGCAGCCGCGGUAAUAC